rnacentral:rRNA from 1 species
GACGAACGCUGGCGGCGUGCUUAACACAUGCAAGUCGAACGAAGUGGCGAACGGGUGAGUAACGCGUAAUCAACCUGCCCUUCUGAGGGGGACAACAGUUGGAAACGACUGCUAAUACCGCAUACUGAAGGUGGGGAUUGCGUCGGAUUGGCUAGUUGGGGGGGUAACGGCCCAACAAGGCGAAGAUCAGUAGCCGGUCUGAGGGGGUGGACGGCCAACACGGGGCUUAGACACGGCCCAGGCUCCCAAGGGAAGCAGCAGUGGGGAAUCUUCCGGAAUUGACGAAAGUCUGGCGGGGCAACGCCGCGUGAGGGAUGACGGCCUUCGGGUUGGAAAGCUCUGUUAGUCGGGACGCGGUACCGGAAUAGAAAGCCACGGCUAACUACGUGCCAGCAGCCGCGGUAAUUC